rnacentral:tRNA from 2 species
GGCGAUGUAGCUCAGUCGGUUAGAGCAUGCGGCUCAUAUCCGCAGUGUCCGGGGUUCAAGUCCCUGCAUCGCCACCA